UUUUCUUUACUGCUUAUAGAAAUUAGAUGAAGCAACGAGUUUACUGGGAGCAACUUGUGAUACGUUCAUCAGAACGCUAGAAGACUGCAUGAAACUCUCGAAUGCAAAUUUUACAUAUGAGCUUCCACAUCAGCAUUUGACUGACACUGCUCUUCCUCCUGUCUCCAACCAGACAAAAAGCAAGAUCAUAAAACCAGCCAUGCCUGUCAUUCGAUCAAACUCCAGUGACAAAAAAGUGUAGCUGUUUGUCUACCAAUAUUUAGAGAAUACUGUGGCUUUGAAAAAGACGUCCUAAUCUUUUGAAUGUAUUUACUCAGGACUUUAAAAAAUUUAAAUAUCAAUUUAUAUGAAAAUGUGUAACUGAAAUGUCUUUCAGUGAUGUAAAUAAAGUUAUGUUGUUAUGUAUAAGUUAGUUAAGGAACAAUUUAUAUAUUUUCAUGUUGACAAAUAGUUUACUGCAGCCUGUGUUUUCUUCAGUUCAUGCAGUUUACAUAUUUUAAUAUAUAUAAAAAAAUAAUUUAUUUUCACAUUGUAAGAAAGUGUUUUCCA